UACGGAAGGCAGCAGUGGGGAAUAUUGCACAAUGGGCGCAAGCCUGAUGCAGCCAUGCCGCGUGUAUGAAGAAGGCCUUCGGGUUGUAAAGUACUUUCAGUCGUGAGGAAGGUGUUAAGGUUAAUAACCUUAGCAAUUGACGUUAGCGACAGAAGAAGCACCGGCUAACUCCGUGCCAGCAGCCGCGGUAAUACGGAGGGUGCGAGCGUUAAUCGGAAUUACUGGGCGUAAAGGGCACGCAGGCGGUUAAUUAAGUUGGAUGUGAAAUCCCCGGGCUUAACCUGGGAAUGGCAUUCAAGACUGGUUAGCUAGAGUCUUGUAGAGGGGGUAGAAUUCCAUGUGUAGCGGCGAAAUGCGUAGAGAUGUGGAGGAAUACCGGUGGCGAAGGCGGCCCCUGGGACAAAGACUGACGCUCAUGUGCGAAAGCGUGGGGAGCAAACAGGGAUUAGAUACC
rnacentral:rRNA from 1 species